rnacentral:rRNA from 1 species
UACGAAGGGUGCUAGCGUUGUUCGGAAUCAUUGGGCGUAAAGCGUGCGUAGGCGGUUUAGUAAGUCGAUUGUGAAAGCCCAGAGCUUAACUUUGGAAUUGCAAUCGAAACUACUAGACUAGAGUGUGGCGGGGGAUAGUGGAAUUCCUAGUGUAGGGGUGAAAUCCGUAGAUAUUAGGAGGAACACCAGUGGCGAAGGCGACUAUCUACACCAUUACUGACGCUAAGGUACGAAAGCGUGGGGAGCAAACAGG